AACGAACGCUGGCGGCAGGCCUAACACAUGCAAGUCGAGCGCACCCUUCGGGGUCAGCGGCGGACGGGUGAGUAACGCGUGGGAACGUUCCCUUCUCUGCGGAAUAGCCUCGGGAAACUGAGAGUAAUACCGCAUACGCCCUUUGGGGGAAUGAUUUAUCGGAAAAGGAUCGGCCCGCGUGGGAUUAGGUAGUUGGUGGGGUAAUGGCCCACCAAGCCGACGAUCCAUAGCUGGUGUGAGAGGAUGAUCAGCCACACUGGGACUGAGACACGGCGCAGACUCCUACGGGAGGCAGCAGUGGGGAAUCUUAGACAAUGGGGGCAACCCUGAUCUAGCCAUGCCGCGUGAGUGAUGAAGGCCUUAGGGUUGUAAAGCUCUUUCAGCUGGGAAGAUAAUGACGGUACCAGCAGAAGAAGCCCCGGCUAACUCCGUG
rnacentral:rRNA from 1 species